rnacentral:rRNA from 1 species
AGCAGCCGCGGUAAUUCCAGCUCCAAUAGCGUAUAUUAAAGUUGUUGCAGUUAAAAAGCUCGUAGUUGGAUUUCGAGAUCAGUACGCUGGUCGUGCCUUCGGUAUGCACUGGUGUCACUGGUUUCUCCCUUCUGAAGAACCGUUAUGUCAUUAAGUUGGUGUGGCGGGAAUCAGGACUGUUACUUUGAAAAAUUAGAGUGUUUAAAGCAGGCUCGCGCUUGAAUACAUUAGCAUGGAAUAAUGAAAUAGGACGUUUGACCCUAUUUUGUUGGUUUCUAGGAUCGACGUAAUGAUUAAUAGGGAUAGUUGGGGGCAUUAGUAUUCAAUUGUCAGAGGUGAAAUUCUUGGAUUUAUUGAAGACUAACUACUGCGAAAGCAUUUGCCAAGGAUGUUUUCAUUAAUCAAGAACGAAAGUUAGGGGAUCGAAGACGAUCAGAUACCGUCGUAGUCUUAACCAUAAACUAUGCCGACUAGGGGUCGGAUGAUGUUUAAUUUUUAAUGUACUCA